rnacentral:lncRNA from 1 species
GGGCGUUUCUAUGUAGAUGAGGCAGCGCAGGGGCUGCUGCUUCGCCACGAAGGAUUUCCCGUGCCGUGGGAGCGGGUUCAGGACCGCUGGUCGGACCUGAGAGUCCCAGCUGUGGGAAGCUCAGCUGUGUAAUUUGUAGUAACGAAGCAGAAGUUACAACGAAAAGACAAGUUUUCCUGUGCUUGGCAGGGCCCCCCUCCCCCCCACCAAGGCCUGCAGUGGAUAGAGCCUAGCAGAUCCUGGACAAUACUAUCCUAAAAGCUACAUCUCUGACAGUGAUUUCCAGCGACUUUGUCAACACGGUCCGCCCCCAGCAAGUAUAAGAGGAAAAACAACAAAUGUCUUUACUGCCUUGUCUUUCCCCCUUGCCACUUGUCAUUAUUCAAGUUUUGUAAGUUCCUGAUUUCCAUUCAGUGCAGCUGCAAGGUUACCAGCUGUGCUUGCGUUGCAAGACCUGUCACAGUUUGAUUAACUGCCUUCUUUCUGCUUCUGUAAGCCCUCUUGCCUGCCCCGCGAGUUUCACACCAUCAAAUUCCUGCUGCACCAUUCAAACUAGCCAACCCCCUUUCAGAAGUGUGUAUAAAAGUCAAGCCCCCUGUCUUUCUUCGGGGCUCAUGCUAGGCCCGAGUGCAUUCAAUAAAAUCCUUCUGUUCCACCCGUUGGUCUCUUUGUUCUCCUGAUUCCCGCAACAGUAGUAGGGGACUGCGUUCGUGCUUUCCCCUGGUCUUUCAUGGU